rnacentral:piRNA from 1 species
UCGUGUGUAAACUGAAUGCUUGGG